GCUCCAGUGGCCUAGUGGUUAGAGCGUCCGCCUCGGAUGCGGGAGGUCGUGGGUUCGAUCCCCGGUCGAGUCA